UACAUGGGGUGCAAACGUUGCUCGGAAUUAUUGGGCGUAAAGCGCACGUAGGCGGUUUGUUAAGUCGGAUGUGAAAUCCCUCGGUUCAACUGAGGAAGUGCACCCGAAACUGGCAAGCUUGAGUACUGAAGAGGGUCGCGGAAUUCCCGGUGUAGAGGUGAAAUUCGUAGAGAUCGGGAGGAACAUCUGUGGCGAAGGCGACUACCUGGACCAGCACUGACACUGAGGCACGAAAGCGUGGGGAGCAAACAGG
rnacentral:rRNA from 1 species